rnacentral:rRNA from 1 species
UACGGGGGGGGCAAGCGUUGUUCGGAAUUACUGGGCGUAAAGCGUGCGCAGGCGGUUCUGCAAGUCAGAUGUGAAAUCCCCGGGCUUAACCUGGGACUGCGUUUGAAACUACGGAGCUAGAGUGCGGCAGAGGGGGGUGGAAUUCCACGUGUAGCAGUGAAAUGCGUAGAUAUGUGGAGGAACACCGAUGGCGAAGGCAGCCCCCUGGGCCGACACUGACGCUCAGGCACGAAAGCGUGGGGAGCAAACAGG